rnacentral:lncRNA from 1 species
CGCGCCCUGGUGACAGCUCGCGCGUGCUGAUGAUGGCGGAGUGAUGCAGACUGCAAUGUCUGGGGGCCGCUGAGAGGUUCAGCAGGGAAGGGCGCUGGCCGCCAGCCCACCCACCUGAUUCACUCCUUGGAACCCACAUGGACACCACAGUGGCUCUGCAUGUGCUGACUUUUCUAAGAAAGGGAGGCCCUGACAUCUCAUCCUUACAGCAUCUUUCCACAUCAUUCUUUGCCCAUCACUAUGAGGCUCUCUGUGGGCCACAGGAGCAUCUGAUCCCAGAGCAGGAGCCUUUAGUCAAGUUCACCUGCCACCAAUCAUGGUACACUUGAAGCCACCCUUCAUUUUCCAAGUCCUUUAGCACUGUGGCCUGCCCUCCCAAGCUGACACCCCUGGAAAAAGUUGUCCAACACUCUGUCAUGUCCUUGCGACCUUGGAGCAUGUGGGAGCCUAAGUCCCCUAAGCUGGUCCAGGUGAGAGUCCUACUGGUGAUAUGAGGCCCGCAUCUCGGGAACAUUCCAUUGAGGCGGGGAGAAGAGGCAUGCUGAAAUUAAGUAGUAGGCACUUGUCUUUAACUCUGUCCCCUUGCCAGGAAAUGAUGUUUAUUUGGGGCCAAAGAAACUCCCCCUACCCCACGAAAGGAGAAGCAGGAAUUCCUGGGCUCAUCGCAGCAAGUUAUCAGGAGCAUUAUCUUAGG